GGUUAAGCGACUAAGCGUACACGGUGGAUGCCCUGGCAGUCAGAGGCGAUGAAGGACGUGCUAAUCUGCGAAAAGCGCCGGCGAGGUGAUAUGAACCUUUGACCCGGCGAUGUCCGAAUGGGGAAACCCAGUGUGAUUCGUCACACUAUCGUUAACUGAAUACAUAGGUUAACGAGGCGAACCGGGGGAACUGAAACAUCUAAGUACCCCGAGGAAAAGAAAUCAACCGAGAUUCCCCCAGUAGCGGCGAGCGAACGGGGAGCAGCCCAGAGUCUGAAUCAGCUUGUGUGUUAGUGGAAGCGUCUGGAAAGUCGCACGGUACAGGGUGACAGUCCCGUACACGAAAGCACACAGGUUGUGAACUCGAAGAGUAGGGCGGGACACGUGGUAUCCUGUCUGAAUAUGGGGGGACCAUCCUCCAAGGCUAAAUACUCCUGACUGACCGAUAGUGAACCAGUACCGUGAGGGAAAGGCGAAAAGAACCCCGGCGAGGGGAGUGAAAAAGAACCUGAAACCGUGUACGUACAAGCAGUGGGAGCACC
rnacentral:rRNA from 2 species